UGGAACUCUUAACCACUGAGGUAUACCAAAGUUUAUUAUUAUUAUUUUGGCCCCAAAAUUGGGUAACACUGAUCCAAUCAAAAGACUUCUUAGUUUUUGGAUUACUGAAUAAAACUCCUGAAAGUACAAUUUCACAUACAUGUCACCCCCCUUCCCCCAACUGGGUCUCAAAGAUAAUAUCAAAGCGAAAUUCCGCAUUAGCUUGCCUAGUCCUAUUAUGGCCUAGUAAAUGUUUUUCUAUUUUAUUUAGAAGAACUUGUAAUCUGGUUCCCACUCUUCUUUCUUUGCAUGUUUUACAGAACACAUUGUGCUUGCAGAGAGAGCAAACCAUGCCUGUCUCUUGUGGAGCCCACAGUGCUGUGUGCUUAGUGCGGCAAUUGGGCCAGGAAUGAAAACAACUACACCAUAGUAACAAUCCGUCAUUCUGUCCAUCUGCUACCCAAGAGGGAUCUUAAAAUAGUUUCAAUUCACCUUUAAAAUCCACUGCUCUAUGAAGGGCUUGUAACACUUGGCGGCCUUGGAAGCCUGCCUGAGAAACAGGACCGCUAUUCGGACUACUGGUGUCCAGCUGUAAGCCUCCUUGGAGGGAAACAAGCCAUCCAUUCAUUGGGCUGUUGUGAAAUUUUCCUUCCCCACCAGCCCUCCCAGCCAAGAAGGAGAAUACCUGGAGGAAUGGCAUUCUGGAUUUUUGUUCUUCCUAAUGUAGGGCCUGAGUUUUUAUUUUCUUAAUGGCCUACUCUUUUUUUCCUUCCUGUUUAACCCUCUUCUGCUCCAACUCCCCAACCCUACAACUUUCCCUUUCUUUUAACUUUUCUUUCUUCAGCUGAGAGAUUGGGUGUGAGUUGAGACUUUACGGUCUAGAAUUUCAAAAUCGAUUCAUGGAGUAACUAUCCCCAAACCAGCACACUUUUAAUUAGGGUAGGAGUAAUGAAAUGGGAGACUCCCUGGACCCCUCUGUGGGACUUGCAACAGGGGUGUGGCUCGUUUGCUUGGCCACCACAUGCUCAAAUCUCUUACAGGAGGGGAGCAUGCAGGUGAGCAGGAGACGGAGCCAGGGUGAGCGCCUUUGGGCUCUGGCCCCAUGGCAAUGUCUACGAGUAUUACAAUGCUCUUUUAGCCCUGCUGUCCGGGGAUGGCUUAAGUGUUAAACAGCUCAGCGAAGAGUCAGGGUGACAGCCUUUUUGGGUCUCUGCACCCAGUGCAUCCCAAAUUUUGCCUUGCAUCCAGGAAGAAUGAAGUUACAGGUACUUGAAGGAUGGUGAAUGCGGGGAUCUUAUUGGGUGAUGGAGGUGGCUCUCAGUGGGAUGGGAAGCUGGAGAGGGGAUAGAGUGGGAAGAUGAUCUUCUCCUGGAGUUCAGUCAUCCUGAAGCUGAUCUCCUCUCCCAAUGCCCCCAGCCGAACUCCUCUCAGAUGCUUCCCCUCUUCUCUCAUUCUCUGCCAUGCUGCUCUGCUGCUCUGCCAUACUUCUGCUCAUGGAGCCUGGGGAUUGGGAUUUUUAUAGGUAUAGGAUGGGGGUGUGGUGGGCCACGGUGGUCUUGGAAGAGGCAACAUUUGGGGGCAAAAACAGGAAUGCCUAUUCCCAUUUAAAGCCUCGGGUUUCCAGGCUUGAGGGUGGGGCCUUUGCUGGGGAAACGCCCUCUACUACCUAGUAUUUCCUUGCCUCCUGUCCGUAUCCGUAGUACGAGUAAAGUGAGACCUUCCUGGGCAAACCCUGACAUCUGGUCCCUGGGGUUAACUCUGGCUCCACUGAGCAGCACCAAAGAGCAUGGAGAUGCUCAGCAUGUGGCGGCUGCAGAGAGCAGCAUCAUGCUUUGUUGGCUCCUGGUUCUAGUGCCUAACUGUGUUCUAGAUCUUGACAGGGCAUAGCCAGUGGGGAUUAAAACAGGACAGAAGAUUGCCCUUCUUGCUAUUUCCAUUUUUUAAAAGGUUACAUUCUCAGUAUUCUAGUAGUCUAACCUAUCAUAUCUCUAGGUGAAUUUGAAAGUUAGAUUGCAAAAUUUCAAUCUCACACAUUUUUUUCCAUUUUAUUUUCAUUUAGGCUGUGAAACCUAGCUUAAAAUAAACUUACAGUAGUUUCUGUUUCUUAUGGGAGACGACGUAGGCCUUAGAUUAUUUACUGUCUCUUUCUGAAGAAUUUAACUCAAACAUGGGUAUCAGACCAAAUCAUACAAUUUAUAUCAACAAUGUGAAUGGCAAAAUUAAAAAGGAAGAAUUGAAGAGAUCCCUAUAUGCCCUGUUUUCUUAGUUUGGUCAUGUGGUGGACUUUGUGGCUUUAAGGACCAUGAAGAUGAAGGGCAGGCCUUUGUCAUAUUUAAGGAACUGGGCUCAUCCACAAGUGCUUUGAGACAGUCACAAGGAUUUCCAUUUCAUGGUAAACCAAUGUGAAUAUAUAUGCAAAAACAGAUUCGGAUAUAAUAUCUAAAAUGUGCGGCACUUUUGCUGACAAAGAAAAGAAGAAGGGCAAAACUGUGGAAUAGACUGCAACCACCACAAACAAAAGGCCUGGCUAGGGAACUCCAAAUUCAGCUAAUAUCCAAGGAAAUUCAACACCAAAUCCUCAGGUCCUUGAUUAUCCUCCAAACUAUAUUUUAUUCCUUAAUAACUUACCAGAAGAGACUAAUGAGAUGAUGUUAUCCAUGCUGUUUAAUCAGUUCCCUGGCUUCAAGGAAGUAUGUCUAGUACCAGGGAGGCAUGACAUUGCUUUUGUUGAAUUUGAAAAUGAUGGUCAGGCUGGAGCUGCCAGGGAUGCUUUGCAGGGAUUUAAGAUCACAACAUCCCAUGCUAUGAAGAUCACCUAUGCCAAGAAAUAACAUUUGGGAUAGUCAUCUUUAAAGGACUUGGUGUUAUUUAUAGUGUUUGUUUUGCUAACAUUUGGUUGGGUCAUUGUAAUAGAGAUUACGGGGAGUGAAAGUGAAAUUUUUGUGAAGGACUUAAAUUAUCUAGUGUUUCUUUAGCCUUGGUGAACUAUGAAAUACGAAGGCCUUAAUUUUGUACAAUAAACUUUUAUUUGUAUUCUGUG